rnacentral:lncRNA from 1 species
UUGGGCCUCGCCUUCAAGAAUUUGGGCUUUUGUGACUCGUAUCAUUCCCCCCUUCCUCAAAAAGAUUCGUCCUCGAAUCUGAAAAAUCAAAUGAACUUGACUUUCCUCUAUCGAACGGGAUUAAUGGCAAUUGAGUCCACUGAGAAGAAUAGCCAUGAGAUAGUAAAUAGCAACGUAAAUAAGCUUGUAGUCCAAUCAUAAGCAUAAUAGAACAGGUAUAACGCAUGUGAAUGGACAGAUUCAGAUUACCAUGCAAACAAUCUAAUUUACUCACCACUGCCUCGUCAAAUAUUUGAA